rnacentral:rRNA from 1 species
AUUGAACGCUGGCGGCAGGCCUAACACAUGCAAGUCGAGCGGAUGAAGGGAGCUUGCUCCUGGAUUCAGCGGCGGACGGGUGAGUAAUGCCUAGGAAUCUGCCUGGUAGUGGGGGAUAACGUCCGGAAACGGGCGCUAAUACCGCAUACGUCCUGAGGGAGAAAGUGGAGGAUCUUCGGACCUCACGCUAUCAGAUGAGCCUAGGUCGGAUUAGCUAGUUGGUGGGGUAAAGGCCUACCAAGGCGACGAUCCGUAACUGGUCUGAGAGGAUGAUCAGUCACACUGGAACUGAGACACGGUCCAGACUCCUACGGGAGGCAGCAGUGGGGAAUAUUGGACAAUGGGCGAAAGCCUGAUCCAGCCAUGCCGCGUGUGUGAAGAAGCUCUUCGGAUUGUAAAGCACUUUAAGUUGGGAGGAAGGGCAGUAAGUUAAUACCUUGCUGUUUUGACGUUACCAACAGAAUAAGCACCGGCUAACUUCGUG